GAUGAACGCUAGCGAUAGGCUUAACACAUGCAAGUCGAGGGGCAGCACAAGGUAGCUUGCUAUCUGGGUGGCGACCGGCGCACGGGUGCGUAACGCGUAUGCAACUUGCCCUAUACAGGAGGAUAACCCGUCGAAAGACGGACUAAUACUGCGUAUGCUCACAACUUGGCAUCAAGUGGUGAGGAAAGAAAUUCGGUAUAGGAUAGGCAUGCGUCCCAUUAGCUUGUUGGUGAGGUAACGGCUCACCAAGGCAACGAUGGGUAGGGGAACUGAGAGGUUUAUCCCCCACACUGGUACUGAGACACGGACCAGACUCCUACGGGAGGCAGCAGUGAGGUAUAUUGAUCAAUGGGCGCGAGCCUGAACCAGCCAAGUCGCGUGAAGGAUGACUGUCUUAUGGAUUGUAAACUUCUUUUAUACGGGAAUAACAAGAGUCACGUGUGACUCCCUGCAUGUACCGUAUGAAUAAGCAUCGGCUAACUCCGUG
rnacentral:rRNA from 1 species